CGUAAAUAAUCUACCCCUGGUGUUUGGGAUAACCAGCCGAAAGGCUGACUAAUACCGGAUAUAUGAUUUUCUGUUGGGAGAAUCAGGAAAGAUGGCCUCUUCAUGAAAGCUAUCGCAUUGGGAUGAGUUUGCGUACCAUUAGCUAGUUGGUGGGGUAAUGGCCCACCAAGGCAACGAUGGUUAGCGGGUCUGAGAGGAUGAUCCGUCACACUGGCACUGGAACACGGGCCAG
rnacentral:rRNA from 1 species